rnacentral:misc_RNA from 1 species
GAAAUUUUUGAGGGGUCUACCAUACAACUAACACUCAUGACAAUAAGGCCAAAACACAUGCAAACUGUCCCUUCAAGGCACCCUGGAAUUCUGAGUUUCCCCAGGAUUAUGCUACCUUUCCUUAGAAUUUUUUUGCCUUCACAGCAAGUUUCUUCAAUUCAGUCCGUACUCUUUUCCUCCCUCAAAGAGAGACAAAAAUAAAAUUUAAUUUGUCUUCAUUUCUUUUUCUCCCUCAGCUGGCUAGAAUUUCCAUGGCCGACCAUCCA